rnacentral:rRNA from 1 species
UGCCAGCCGCCGCGGUAAUACGGUAGGUGCGAGCGUUAAUCGGAAUUACUGGGCGUAAAGCGCACGUAGGUGGCUUGGUAAGUCGGAUGUGAAAGCCCUGGGCUCAACCUGGGAAUUGCAUUCGAUACUGCUUAGCUAGAGUAUGAGAGAGGGUAGUGGAAUUCCGGGUGUAGCGGUGAAAUGCGUAGAUAUCCGGAGGAACAUCAGUGGCGAAGGCGGCUCCCUGGCCAAAGACUGACGCUCAUGUGCGAAAGUGUGGGUAGCGAACAGGAUUAGAUA